UGAAAUACCACUACUUUUAACG
rnacentral:snRNA from 1 species